ensembl:lncRNA
AGACCCAGCAGAGCCAAAAUAAAUAAAUACACUGUUUAAAAAGAGAGAGAGAAGCAAAGCUCUGGGCAAGGGGCAGAGAUGUUCUCCCGUGUCUGAUAUGGGUGGACUACACCUGGACUACUGGACUACAUUAAAGUCUUUGACUGUGUGGAUCACAACAAACUGUGGAAAAUUCUUCAAGAGACAGAAAUACCAGACCACCUUACCUUCCUGAGAAAUCUGUAUGCAGGUCAAGAAGCAACAUUUAGAACUAGACAUGGAACAACAGUCUGGUUCGAAACUGGGAAAGGAGUACAUCAAGGAUGUAUACUGUCACCCUGUUUAUUUAACUUAUAUGCAGAGUACACCAUGAGAAAUGCUGGGCUGGAUGAAGCACAAGCUGGAAUCAAGAUUACAGGCAGAAAUAUCAAUAACUUCAGAUAUGCCGAUGACACCACCCUUACUGCAGAAAGCGAAGAGCAACUAAAGAGCCUCUUGAUGAAAGUGAAAGAGAGGAGCGAAAAUAUUGGCUUAAAACUCAACAUUCAGAACACUAAGAUCAUGGCAUCUGGUCCUAUCACUUCAUGGUAAAUAGAUGGGGAAACAAUGGAAACAGUGGCUGAUUUUAUUUUGGUGGGCUCCAAAAUCACUGUAGCCAUGAAAUUAAAAAACACUUGCUCCUGGUAAGAAAAGCUAUGACCAACCUAAACAGCAUAUUAAAAAGCAGAGACAUUCCUUUGCCAACAAAGGUCCAUCUAGUCAAGGCUAUGGGUUUUCCAGUAGUCAUGUAUGGAUGUGAGAGUUGGACGAUAAAGAAAGCUGAGCACAGAAGAAUUGAUGCUUUUGAACUGUGGUGUUGGAGAAGACUCAUGAGAGUCCCUUGGACUUCCAGGAGAUCCAACCAGUCUUUCCUAAGGAAAUCAGUCCUGAAUAUUCAUUGGAAGGACUGAUGUUGAAGCUCCAAUACUUUGGCCACCUAAUGCGAAGCACUGACUCAUUGGAAAAGAUCCUGGUGCUGGGAAAGAUAGAACGUGGGAGGAGAAUGGGACAACAGAGGAUGAGAUGGUUGGAUGGCAUCACCAAUUCAAUUGACAUGAGCUUGAGGUUAUCAUUACCAUCUUUCUAAAUUCCAUACAUAUGUGUUAGUAUCCACAGGCGCAGGAGAGCCUAGAGGAGCCAUCCCACGUUGAAAGUCAGGAAGGGCGGCGAUGAGGAGAUACCUCUCAUCCAAGAAAAUGAGCAGUGCCUGUGCUUUGCUGGAGCAGCCGUGAAGAGACACCCGACACCCAAGUUAAGAGAAACCCAAGUAAGAUGGUAGGUGUUGCAAGAGGGCACCAGAGGGCAGACACACUGAAACCAUACUCACAGAAAACUAGUCAAUCUAAUCACACUAGGACCACAGCCUUGUCUAACUCAAUAAAACCAAGCCAUGCUCGUGGGGCAACAGAAGAUGGGCAGGUCAUGGUGGAGAGGUCUGACAGAAUGUGGUCCACUGGAGAAGGGAAUGGCAAACCAUUUCAGUAUUCUUGCCUUGAGAACCCCAUGAACAGUAUGAAAAGGCAAAAUGAUAGGAUACUGAAAGAGGAACUCCCCAGGUCAGUAGGUGCCCAAUAUGCACUGGAGAUCAGUGGACAAAUAACUUUAGAAAAAAUGAAGGGAUGGAGCCAAAGCCAAAACAAUACCCAGCUGUGGAUGUGACUGGUGAUAGAAGCAAGGUCCGAUGCUGUUAAGAGCAUUAUUGCAUAGGAACCUGGAAUGUCAGGUCCAUGAAUCAAGGCAAAAUAGGAAGUGGUCAAACAAGAGAGGGCAAGAGUGAACGUCGACAUUCUAGGAAUCAGCGAACUAAAAUGGACUGGAAUGAGUGAAUUUAACUCAGAUAACCAUAUAUCUACUACUGCAGGCAGGAAUCCCUCAGAAGAAAUGGAGUAGCCAUCAUGGUCAACAAAAGAGUCCAAAAUGCAGUACUUGGAUGCAAUCUCAAAAACGACAGAAUGAUCUCUGUUCGCCAAGGCAAACCAUUCAAUAUCACAGUAAUCCAAGACUAUGCCCCAACCAGUAAUGCUGAAGAAGCUGAAAUUGAACGGUUCUAUGAAGACCUACAAGACCUUUUAAAGGAACUAACACCCAAAAAAGAUGUCCUUUUCAUUAUAGGGGACUGGAAUGCAAAAGUAGGAAGUCAAACAACACCUGGAGUCACAGGCAAAUUUGGCCUUGGAAUGCGGAAUGAAGCAGGGCAAAGACUAAUAGAGUUUUGCCAAGAAAAUGCACUGGUCAUAGCAAACACCCUCUUCCAAUAACACAAGAGAAGACUCUACACAUGGACAUCACCAGAUGGUCAACACUGAAAUCAGACUGAUUAUAUUCUUUGCAGCCAAAGAUGGAGAAGCUCUAUACAGUCAACAAAAACAAGACCAGGAGAUGACUGUGGCUAAGAUCAUGAGUUCCUUAUUAACAAAUUCAAGACUCAAAUUGAAGAAAGUAGGGAAAACCACUAGACCAUUCAG